rnacentral:sRNA from 1 species
UUCGAAAAGAAGUGGGAAGAUUUGAGAAAGAACGAGUGAAGGAUUUUAAAACCGUUAUCAUCAAGUACUUAGAAUCACUAGUUCAAACACAACAACAGGUAAGCCAUUUUUGUUUAUAACUUAAACUUCUAGAAUUUGUUUUUGGUAUACUUUCUUAUUUUAAAAAGAUGAUUAAUGAACUGGGCAUUUAAACUCAAGAAUAAGAAAUGGAAGACAGAAAGCCAGUGAUGGUAAAGGAUAAAGGGGUAAACUAAUUGGAAACUAUCUCAGGGUUUUUUUUUUUUUUUUUUUGCCUCUGCUUAACACUAAGGCAGAGAUAGACUUUUCCCAGUUUUAGGCCAUCAGAAACCUCAUGGGCAACUUUCCCCUUUCACUGUCUUUCUAGUUUGUUUUCCUUGUUGGUCAGACCUGUUUGAGUAAAUUCUCAUAGUAAGUUCUUCUCUUCCAUAACAAAUAGAACUUAAGCUAAACACUUUUUCAGAAUUAAAAAAAAAACUGUAC